rnacentral:rRNA from 1 species
CCUACGGGGGGCAGCAGUGGGGAAUAUUGGACAAUGGGCGAAAGCCUGAUCCAGCCAUGCCGCGUGUGUGAAGAAGGCCUUCGGGUUGUAAAGCACUUUCAGUGGGGUAGAAAGCCUUGGGGCUAAUACCCUCGAGGAAGGACAUCACCCACAGAAGAAGCACCGGCUAACUCCGUGCCAGCAGCCGCGGUAAUACGGAGGGUGCGAGCGUUAAUCGGAAUUACUGGGCGUAAAGCGCGCGUAGGCGGUCUGAUAAGCCGGUUGUGAAAGCCCCGGGCUCAACCUGGGAACGGCAUCCGGAACUGUCAGGCUAGAGUGCAGGAGAGGAAGGUAGAAUUCCCGGUGUAGCAGUGAAAUGCGUAGAGAUCGGGAGGAAUACCAGUGGCGAAGGCGGCCUUCUGGACUGACACUGACGCUGAGGUGCGAAAGCGUGGGUAGCAAACAGGAUUAGAUACCCUUGUAGUC